AUUGAACGCUGGCGGCAUGCCUUACACAUGCAAGUCGAACGGUAACAGGUCUUCGGAUGCUGUCGAGUGGCGCACGGGUGAGUAAUACAUCGGAACGUUCCCGAUCGUGUGGGAUAACGAGGCGAAAGCUUUGCUAAUACCGCAUACGAUCUACGGAUUACAUCGGGGGAUCUUCGGACCUCGCGCGGACGGAGCGGCCGAUGGCAGAUUAGGUCGUUGGUGGGAUAAAAGCUUACCAAGCCGACGAUCUGUAGCUGGUCUGAGAGGAUGAUCAGCCACACUGGGACUGAGACACGGCCCAGACUCCUACGGGAGGCAGCAGUGGGGAAUGUUGGACAAUGGGCGAAAGACUGAUCCAGCCAUGCCGCGUGCAGGAUGAAGGCCUUCGGGUUGUAAACUGCUUUUGUACGGAACGAAAAGCCUCUGUCUAAUAAAGAGGGGUCAUGACGGUACCGGAAGAAUAAGCACUGGCUAACUACGUG
rnacentral:rRNA from 1 species